GAUGAACGCUGGCGGCGUGCUUAACACAUGCAAGUCGAACGGUGAACGAGGGAGCUUGCUCCCUCCGGAUCAGUGGCGAACGGGUGAGUAACACGUGAGCAAUCUGCCCUGGACUCUGGGAUAAGCGUUGGAAACGACGUCUAAUACCGGAUACGAGACGUGGGGGCAUCCCCAACGCCUGGAAAGAACUUCGGUCCAGGAUGAGCUCGCGGCCGAUCAGCUAGUUGGUGAGGUAAUGGCUCACCAAGGCGUCGACGGGUAGCCGGCCUGAGAGGGUGACCGGCAACACUGGGACUGAGACACGGCCCAGACUCCUACGGGAGGCAGCAGUGGGGAAUAUUGCACAAUGGGCGCAAGCCUGAUGCAGCAACGCCGCGUGAGGGACGACGGCCUUCGGGUUGUAAACCUCUUUUAGCAGGGAAGAAGCGAAAGUGACGGUACCUGCAGAAAAAGCACCGGCUAACUACGUGCCAGCAGCAGCCGCCGUAA
rnacentral:rRNA from 1 species